AUGUCAUUCUUGUUCCUUGGCUAUCUCGUUAUACCGGUGUGGUUUCAUAUUCUUUGGUUCGUUAAGCCCUUGUUAAAUGUCUUUCAACCCACAAGGUUCUCGCAAUGUUCCUUGUUUCUCUUUUCUAAUGGAGUGUUUUCAAAUUUGUUCAUCUUCGUUGUAUUAUUUUCUCGAAAUUGUUCAACUUCCAAGGUUCUUUGGUUUCACUCAUUUGUCAAGAAGCAAUUUGUUUUACCUCUUCCCCUUCCAUUUCUCUCCGGUGCCAUCCUAGAUCUCGGGACGAGAUCCUCUUGUAGUGGUGGAGUGUUGUAA
rnacentral:rRNA from 1 species